rnacentral:rRNA from 1 species
UACGUAGGGAGCAAGCGUUGUCCGGAAUCAUUGGGCGUAAAGCGCGCGUAGGUGGCCCCAUAAGUCCGCUGUGAAAGUCAAAGGCUCAACCUUUGAAAGCCGGUGGAUACUGUGGGACUAGAGUACGGAAGAGGCGAGUGGGAUUCCUGGUGUAGCGGUGAAAUGCGCAGAUAUCAGGAGGAACACCAAUGGCGAAGGCAGCUCGCUGGGACGUGACUGACGCUGAGACGCGAAAGCGUGGGGAGCAAACAGG